CAGUCGAGGGGCAGCAUAUAGAUUGCUUGCAAUUUAUGAUGGCGACCGGCGCACGGGUGAGUAACGCGUAUCCAACCUACCCAUUACUAGGGAAUAACCCAGCGAAAGUUGGCCUAAUGCCCUAUGUAGUCGUUUGAUCGCCUGAGAUUUCGACGAAAGAUUUAUCGGUAUUGGAUGGGGAUGCGUCUGAUUAGCUUGUUGGCGGGGUAAAGGCCCACCAAGGCAACGAUCAGUAGGGGUUCUGAGAGGAAGGUCCCCCACAUUGGAACUGAGACACGGUCCAAACUCCUACGGGAGGCAGCAGUGAGGAAUAUUGGUCAAUGGGCGAGAGCCUGAACCAGCCAAGUAGCGUGCAGGAUGACGGCCCUAUGGGUUGUAAACUGCUUUUAUAUGGGAAUAAAGUGAGGGACGUGUCCCUUAUUGCAUGUACCAUACGAAUAAGGACCGGCUAAUUCCGUGCCAGCAGCCGCGGUAAUACGGAAGGUCCAGGCGUUAUCCGGAUUUAUUGGGUUUAAAGGGAGCGUAGGCUGUUUGUUAAGCGUGUUGUGAAAUGUAGGAGCUCAACUUUUAGAUUGCAGCGCGAACUGGCAGACUUGAGUGCGCACAACGUAGGCGGAAUUCAUGGUGUAGCGGUGAAAUGCUUA
rnacentral:rRNA from 1 species